rnacentral:rRNA from 1 species
GACAGAGGAGCCAAGCGUUGUCCGGAUUGACUGGGCGUAAAGCGCACGCAGGCGGGUGCGCGCGUGGGGUGGGAAACCUGGCCGCUUAACGGCCAGGCGCCAUCCCAUACGGCGCGUCUGGAGUGAUGCAGAGGUCGAUGGAAUUGCCGGUGUAGUGGUGAAAUGCGUAGAGAUCGGCAGGAACACCCAGGGGGAAACCAGUCGACUGGGCAUCUACUGACGCUGAGGUGCGAGAGCGUGGGGAGCGAACCGG